rnacentral:lncRNA from 1 species
GGCCUCGGGGACGGUGGCGGCGAUCCAGGCGGCGUGGGCGCCGGGCCGGGUGUAGACCCCCGGGCGGGAGGGGAGGCCGCAGCCCUGCCCCCAGCUGGCCACCCCCGCCAGCAGCCACCAGCCCCCCACGCGGCACGCCAGGGGGCCGCCCGAGUCACCCUAAAAGGGGAUUUGGGGACAUUUGGGGACAUUUGGGGUCAAU